CACCCUCUUUCCAAAGAAGG
rnacentral:snRNA from 1 species